rnacentral:rRNA from 1 species
GAUGAACGCUGGCGGCGUGCCUAAUACAUGCAAGUCGAGCGAAUGGAUUAAGAGCUUGCUCUUAUGAAGUUAGCGGCGGACGGGUGAGUAACACGUGGGUAACCUGCCCAUAAGACUAGGAUAACUCCGGGAAACCGGGGCUAAUACCGGAUAACAUUUUGAACCGCAUGGUUCGAAAUUGAAAGGCGGCUUCGGCUGUCACUUAUGGAUGCACCCGCGACGAAUUAGCUAGUUGGUGAGGUAACGGCUCACCAAGGCAACGGUGCGUAGCCGACCUGAGAGGGUGAUCGGCCACACUGGGACUGAGACACGGCCCAGACUCCUACGGGAGGCAGCAGUAGGGAAUCUUCCGCAAUGGACGAAAGUCUGACGGAGCAACGCCGCGUGAGUGAUGAAGGCUUUCGGGUCGUAAAACUCUGUUGUUAGGGAAGAACAAGUGCUAGUUGAAUAAGCUGGCACCUUGACGGUACCUAACCAGAAAGCCACGGCUAACUACGUGCCAGCCGCCGCCGUAA